rnacentral:rRNA from 1 species
UGAGGAAUAUUGGUCAAUGGACGAGAGUCUGAACCAGCCAAGUAGCGUGAAGGAUGACUGCCCUAUGGGUUGUAAACUUCUUUUAUAAGGGAAUAAAGUGCGCCACGUGUGGUGUUUUGUAUGUACCUUAUGAAUAAGCAUCGGCUAAUUCCGUGCCAGCAGCCGCGGUAAUACGAAAGAUGCGAGCGUUAUCCGGAUUUAUGGGUUUAAAGGAGCGUAGGCGGGCGAUUAAGUCAGCGGUAAAAUAGUGUGGCUCAACCAUACUCCGCCGUUGAUACUGGUUGCCUUGAGUUCACACAAGGAAGAUGGAAUUCGUGGUGUAGCGGUGAAAUGCUUAGAUAUCACGAAGAACUCCGAUUGCGAAGGCAGUUUCUGGGUGUUACUGACGCUGAGGCUCGAAAGUGCGGGUAUCAAACAGGAUUAGAUACCCUGGUAAGUCCGCACCGUAAACGAUGAAUACUCGGCUGUUGGCGAUAUAUGGUCAGCGGCCAAGCGAAAGCAUUAAGAUUCCGACCUGGGGAGUACGCGGCAACGGUACG